AUGCUCCCUUUGGCAGCACAUAUACUAACAUUGGGAUGAUACAGAGAAGCUUAGCAUGGUCCCUGCACAAAGAUAACAUUCAAAUUUAUGAAGUGUUCCAUAUUUGG